rnacentral:rRNA from 1 species
CGCACGGGUGAGUAACACGUAUCCAACCUGCCGUCUACUCUUGGCCAGCCUUCUGAAAGGAAGAUUAAUCCAGGAUGGCAUCAUGAGUUCACAUGUCCGCAUGAUUAAAGGUAUUUUCCGGUAGACGAUGGGGACGCGUUCCAUUAGAUAGUAGGCGGGGUAACGGCCCACCUAGUCAACGAUGGAUAGGGGUUCUGAGAGGAAGGUCCCCCACAUUGGAACUGAGACACGGUCCAA